rnacentral:tRNA from 1 species
UAAACUUUAAGUUAAAUAAACUAAAGGUCUUCAAAACCUUCAAUAAGUAGUUCUUAAGUUUAA